GACGAAGGAUGCAAGCGUUAUCCGGAUUCAUUGGGUUUAAAGGGAGCGUAGGUGGCCUUAUAAGUCAGUGGUGAAAUCCUGUUGCUUAACAGCAGAAUUGCCAUUGAUACUGUAGGGCUUGAGUAUAGUUGCCGUUGGCGGAAUAUGACAUGUAGUGGUGAAAUACAUAGAGAUGUCAUAGAACACCGAUUGCGAAGGCAGGUAACGAAACUAUAACUGACACUGAGGCUCGAAAGUGCGGGGAGCAAACAGG
rnacentral:rRNA from 1 species